rnacentral:rRNA from 1 species
UGGGGAAUUUUGGACAAUGGGCGAAAGCCUGAUCCAGCAAUGCCGCGUGUGUGAAGAAGGCCUUCGGGUUGUAAAGCACUUUUGUCCGGAAAGAAAUCCUUGGCUCUAAUACAGUCGGGGGAUGACGGUACCGGAAGAAUAAGCACCGGCUAACUACGUGCCAGCAGCCGCGGUAAUACGUAGGGUGCAAGCGUUAAUCGGAAUUACUGGGCGUAAAGCGUGCGCAGGCGGUUUGCUAAGACCGAUGUGAAAUCCCCGGGCUCAACCUGGGAACUGCAUUGGUGACUGGCAGGCUAGAGUAUGGCAGAGGGGGGUAGAAUUCCACGUGUAGCAGUGAAAUGCGUAGAGAUGUGGAGGAAUACCGAUGGCGAAGGCAGCCCCCUGGGCCAAUACUGACGCUCAUGCACGAAAGCGUGGGGAGCAAACAGGAUUAGAUACCCUGGUAGUCCACGCCCUAAAACGAUGUCAACUAGUUGUUGGGGAUUCAUUUCCUUAGUAACGUAGCAACGCGUGAAGUUGACCGCCUGGGGAGUACGGUCGCAAGAUU